CUAAAACUUAAAAGUAUAAUAAUAAUAAAAAAUAUAUAGAGAGAGAAAUGAAAAAAAAAAAAAAAAGAGUUCUGUACACAGGCGGAUGGCUCCUCAUCUAGGCUGGUAAUUUCACAGGGGCUGUGACGCAAACCUAUUUACCCAAACCUUCCAUUAUAUUCAGCAGUGCCCUGAAAUGAUCAAUUUUGAAAGUGAACUAAUGAGAUACUCAAACUUAUUUUAUUACUCUAAAGUACAGAAUACAAACAACAGAAAUCAUUAGAUAUUGAACAGCAUUUUUAUGUAAAUAAAAUUAAAAUAUCUCAGUCGUCUGUACAGACAACUUCAUUUGUAACAGAGACUUGUUUUAUCUUUAGUGUAUUCUACUCUAUUUAUCUGAUACGACUAUUUUGCUUUUAAAUGUUUUCCUUAAAAUUUUUAUAACUAAUACUUCACUAAUUACUUUACCAAAUACAUAGAUUAAAAUAUCCCUAAAUGUCAAUUUUAGCAGGACUACCUUUUUCCUUUCAAAAUGUAGUCAAAUAUACCUUUAACAGUAUUCAUAUGCACAAAAUUUAAGCCAAAUAUUCAAGCUUACAGGCAAAGAUCUUGAGCACACUUACUGCUGUGCCAAAGGAAUAAUCUUGGCCCCAUCCCUACUUAUAAAAAAUAUAUAAUAAAUCAUGAUCUUUGAUUAAAGCAAAUGACUCUUAACAGAAUGUGAGCUAUUGCCAAAAAAAUGAUUCUAACAGUUAUGGUUUUACACUCACAGCCUAGGUUUCUAGUAGUAUGUUGUCAAAAAAAGCAAAUGAGGUGAUGAUUGGCAGUUAAUGGUCAUUGACAAGAUUUUAAGGGUAGUUAAAAAAGUUUCUCUGAAGUAUCAAUAUCAAAUGUGCUAAAAGGAGAAAAGUAGAUGCAGCACUGAUGUGUCAAAAAUGACUUUGAAAAUGUAAAUUCCUGUGUCUGUAAUAGGUAUCCUUUAAUAGCUGAAAGUAACAAAUGAAAAGCCAAACAUUCACUAUUAACAUAGGCAACAUGGAAAGACUGUGUCUCUAUAAAAAAUAAAAAAAUUAGCCAGGUGUGGUGGUGUCUGUAGUCCCAGGUACUCGGGAGGCCGAGGUGGGAGGAUCGCUUGAGCCUGGGAGACUGAGGCUGCAGUAAGCUGAGAUCAUGCCACUGCACUCCAGCCUGGGGCAAUAGAGUGAGACCCUGUCUCAAAUAUGUAACACACACAUACAUACAUAAAUAUAUACACACAUACAUGGUAGCCAAAUGGAAAUUUUACUGACUCUUUGAUUAGUAUCAUUACACUUCACAUAUGAGUUUUAGUCUUCAGUUAAUUCCUGGGAAAUGCCAAAAAUAAAAAUACUGCCACAGAGAAAUUAGUUUUUCUCUGCUACAUAUUGGCUCAAAAGUAAGCACCUGAAUAUUAAUUGUCUACAUUUUGUAUUUUUAAGAUCUUAUUUCAAAACAAUUUACAUUGAGAGUAUUAUUUAUGCUCUUAAACAGGAUCAGGGAUAUCUUUAUUUCUAGACUCUGGGAAGAUAAUUUACCUGAGCAAAAUGCAAAGAUAAAUAAUUAUACAAAAAUUUAAGUCAGUUGUCAAAGCUAACAAUGCAUCACCUGGCUUCAAAAUUUAACAAACAAAGAGUCUACAUAAAUAUCUUUCUUGUCUACACAUCUUUCUUGUUAUGGUAAACAUUUUGUUUUUUCUAACAAAACACUGCUCUUCAUUUUAAAAUCUAAAUGGCAAAAUGAGAAUGAUAACAGCGAAUUAACAGGUUUGAAUGUGGUUUAUAAAAUUAGGAAUGGGCAAACAUGGAUUAACUGACUCGAAAAUACUCUGGAAUAGGGGUCACAAAUUUGGUCCACAAGCCAAAUCCAGCCAGCUCAUAAGAACAGUUUCACAUUUUCUAAUGGCUGAAAAAAUCUAAUGGCUAACACAGUAGUAUUUUGUAACACAUCAAAAUUAUGUAAAAUUCAACUUUCAGUGCUCAUGAAAUUUUAUUGGAACAUGGCCACACUCAUUCGUUUAGGUACUGUCUAUGAUUGCUUUCACAUUAGAAUGGCAGAGUUGAACAAAUGCAAAGGAGACUUAUGUGGUGCUGUCAUCAUUUUGCACUGCUACUUGGCACACUAAAAACUGCAGUAAUGCAGUUACCAGCAUUUUGAGUGCCACAUAUGUUGUCAUACCACAAUAUUUUUAAAUUUUUUAUUACUAGUGCUUACCCAUAACAUCAAAACAAGAGAAAAAAAGAAAAGUAGACUUGAAGUGACAUUUUUAAGGCACAUUAGUAUAUGAAUUUUUAAAAAUCAGAUUAGAUGUCAGAGUAUGAUGUUUAAUAUGCAAUGUCAUUAUAGCUGUUCUUAAAGAAUACUAUAGGGAGGUCAGAUGCAGUGGUUCAUGCCUGUAAUCCAAGCAUUUUGGGAGGCUGAAGUGGGUGGAUCACUUGAGGUCAGGAGUUCAAGACCAGCCUGGACAACAUGGUAAAACCCCAUUUCUACUAAAAACAUAAAAAUUAGUUAGGUGUGGUGGCAUGUGCCUGUAAUCUCAGCUACUUGGGAGGCUGAGGCAGGAGACUCGCUUGAACCUGCAGGGUGGAGGUUGCAGUGAACUGAGAUUGUGCCACUGCACUCCAGCCUGGGCAAAAGAAUGAGACUCAGUCUCAAAAAAAAAAAAAAACAAACUCAAAAAUGAAAAUAAAGUUGCAGCCAAAGUGACUCAGAUAAUUGAGAACACUGGGAACAACAUCAACAGUCAAUAAAAAACAAGGCAAAUGACCCUGAGUGGUUUUCCUUGGCUCUUGAUGAGUCAACAGAUGUUACUGACACUGCCUAGUUAUUGCUUAUUUGAUAAGUCAAUGCCAACGUUGAAGUGACUGAAAUUAGUCUCUAUGAAUUAUCUGUGUGGCACAAUUACAAGCAUGAAUAUUUUAUAAGAAGAAAACACAAAUUUCAUGCAACCUGAAGUAGAAUCUGCUAAGAUGUGUUACAACUGGUGGUGUUAAAAAUGUGUGAAGCAAAAUGAUUACGUUUGUCAAAUUUAUAAAGCCUGUGAAAAGGUAAGAAGGUAUUUAAAAUCUAUGGUUAUUUACUGUAUUAUUCAUCAGCAGGUACUUUGUGGGAUAUAUUUGAUUCAAUUUUGUAUUACUGAACUACUGGUAGCAAUGGUGAACUUCAUUUGCUCUCAUAGUUUCUGAUAGAUUAAACAUCAAUGGUUCAGUUAUCUUUUGUCAGAUACAGAAGAUGAAUAUGCUGAUUUGCCCAACCACAUUGGCAUAAUAGUGUUAGUUCUAUUGUGAGCUUUUGCGUUCAGGGCUGAUAUUGACUAAAGCAUAUCACUGAUUAACAUAAGGUAAAAAU
rnacentral:lncRNA from 10 species